UCUCCGUUGGUGAACCAGCGGAGGGAUCAUUACCGAGUUUCCAACUCCCAAACUCAAUGUGUACCAUACCAAACUGUUGCCUCGGCGGGGUCACGCCCCGGGUGCGUCGCAGCCCUCGAACCAGGCGCCCGCCGGAGGGACCAACCAAACUCUUUCUGUACUACCCUUUCGGACGAUAUUUUACAGCUCUGAUCAAAAAUUCAAAAUGAAUCAAAACUUUCAACAACGGAUCUCUUGGUUCUG
rnacentral:misc_RNA from 1 species